AAAGGUCAUACAAGUAAAGAAUUCUUAACUGGGUUUGGAACUCAUGUUUUCCAGCAUAUGUCUUUUUUAAAAUUCCUUUUGUCUCUUUAAUGCUAAAAACCCAGAAUAAGUCUUCACAAAAAUAUCCUAGCAUAAAUUCUUAAUGGUGAGGGAUAAUCUUUCUUCUCACUCCCCAUCAGUGCACAUAGUGCGAAUGAGACAGAAGUGUGGGAUGAAACAGAUGAGGAGGAUGGAGCAGCACAUGUGUGGGUGAGGCAGAAACAAGAGAGAAUGGCUUUGAAUGUGACAGAUCCAUCAGAUACACCCCUGAAGCCUGCAGACAGGAUGGUCUCCAGGAGGAUGUGCUCUAAGAAAAUGACUGGCUCUGAAACUAUCUGAUGAAUGAUCUUCUACUAAGGACUAAAACUUUAAUCAGGUCUUCACUAAAUGGUCACCUUCACGAUGGGCUCUACUCUGAUUGCCAUUCUUAUCCCCACCCAACCUCUGAAUGCUGUAUAGGUGUGGCACCAGUAUCUGCUCAGCUUCUGUGAGGCCUCAGGAAGCUUACAAUCAUGUAAGAAGGUGACUGGAAGCCAGCAUGUCAUAUGGUGAGAAUGGGAGAAAGAAAGAAGGGGGAUCUCAUGUGAAUUAAAUGAGGAAGCACUCACUUAUUAGCAAGGGGAUGAUGCUAAACCAUUUAUGAGAGAUCUUCCCCCAUAAUCCAGUCACCCCCAACUGGGCCCCAUCUCCCACACUGAGAAUCACAUUUUAUCAUGAGAUUUAGAGGGAAACCAUAUCCAAACUAUAUCAGGUGUCUAGAGCUUUUGGUCCAAGGAAAGUCCCCCAGCUACUAGCUAUACCAAAAUGCCAUUUCUAUUUUUAGACUUUUUGCAUGUGUCUAGUAUACUAUUUUAAUGUAUUAAAAAAAUACAAAUCUGAAAUGGGACACCAAUUAUAACACAGCUACAAGCUAAGCUGUUUUGACUGAAAAAGUGGAGUAUAUCUGGAGGCUGGCCUGCACACUCUUACUCUUUGCUCAUUUGUGGUGUCUGAGGUAUCUCAUCAGCAUCCUAGUCUAAGGAACACAUUAAAAACAAUCAUUACUUCUCAUUAUUUGGGGACUGUGGCAUUUGACUCAUAAUCUUUCUUCCCACACCUCACUGUGCAAACCUCAGCAGUAUGAGGGUCCACAUGGGCAGCCUGGCCUCUUAGAUGCCUUCAACUACUGUGUGAUGUGCUGCCUCAUUCACUUCAUCCUCCUAUUUCAGUGACCACACUGGAACUCUUACUUUCUGAAGUUUUAAUCUCCUUUACUCUCUGAUAAAAAUUUCUCUGUCAAGCUCUCUUUUUUUUCCACCAAACCUACUUCAUGGCUAUUAAAUCUGUUCUUAGCUAUCAUCACCCUUACCAGUUCUUUUCUUUGUGUCCAUCGAACUCUCUUGACCACACUCUCUUGCUUUCAUAGCCGGGACAAUCACUCUCUUACUAGCAAAUAAAUUUUGGUCCCCUCUGUUGUUUUCCUGCUUCUCUUAAGGCAGAAGAGAUACUCUCCCAAAUCCUCCUCCCUAUGGCCAGACCUCCAGUAGAAGAAAAUUCUGACAUCUCUUACUGAGCUUGCUCCUUUCAGGAGAGGAGGAAUGACUUACCUGAUUGGUAAAUUUUAGAAGCAGAUCUAAGCAUGCUUAGAUGCUCCUUCUAGAUCUUCUUUGGGAUUUGGCUGCUUGCAGAGAGAGUGCAUUUUACUCUAUUCCUCCUUGAUGUAAAGAGGGAGUCCUCACAUUAUUUGGCACUGCCUAACUUUUGGGUCAUUCUGUAAAUUAGCAUUUAUCAUUAAAGGUUGUUUCGUAUUACUCCCUUUUCUGCCAAAAAUUACAAAUAAUCACUAAGUCUCAGUCAGUUCUUAAAUAUCAAUCUUGAUAUUUUUACUCAGCUGCCCAAAUGCCACUAGAAGGAAAUAAUAAAUCAGUACUAUUGACUGGUAUUGUAAAUUCACAGUGGACCCUGGAUGGUGCUGAGAAGUCCUUCCCUUGCCAUUGAGGAAUGCUUUCUUUAGCUCCUUUCGGCAGCUCCACUCACACUCACUGACUUUUCUGAGAGUCUUGCCUGCCCUGCCCUGGCCAAGACCAUCAGAUGAUGGCAUUUCCUGAACAUCAAGAAGCAAAUGAACAUGAAGGCUCUUAAAUCUCUACUCCAACACCCAUAAUGUUAUUCUAUCCUUGCACAUCUUCUCUGUCUUCCGUCUCAUCUUAGGAAAGCAUAUCCCCAUCCCCAAGCUGGUCCAGGUUAAUUUAUUAAUUUGUCUUUUGACCCUAUCCUUUUAUUUCCCUUGCAUUCUUACUGGAUUCAUCAGUUCCUCUCUCCUUUCUCCCAUCAUUGCCUGCUCUAUCAGUUCCUAUUUCAUGCACUAAAAACAUAGUCAAAUGUCUCUCAUCUUGGAUUAAAAAGUUUUUUUCCUUGGUUCCAUGUAGCUCUCUAGUUACAGCCAAAUUUUGGCUUCAGUCUGUCCUAGUUCUCUGCCUCCUUGUCCCACAUUUACUUUUCUCUUCAUUUCCAUCAGGUUUUUCUGCCUCCCUCACACCCCAAUACAUACUAAAUCAAUCCUAAAAUGGUCUUCUCACAUGGUUUUUAUUACCAGGUGUCUAGGAAAUGCUCUGAAAUCUCUUUCUCUACAUUUCUCCCAACUGUUUGUGUACAAGGGCAAUACAGGCUGUCCAUCUGAGCUCCACCAAAUUUUCAAACAUGAUGAUGUGCCAAGCAGAAUGAUUACAUCCUCUCUAGUCUCUACCUUUCCUCCCCAUCUUGUUCUCACCCCUUUAAACAUGUGUUUUCUAUAUUAGUUAAUGGCAGCCUUGUCAUUUCAGCAUCCUAAAUCAGAAACUUUGGAGUCACUCUAGAAUGAGUUCUUCUCUCUUCUACCCUCCCACAUGACCCUCUCCUAAUGUGUAUUCACGGACUGAGGUUAACUGUUUUCUAAGCAUUUUGUCUCCUGGCUAUUUACUUUACUAUCGUGACACAGUUCAUGCCUCUGUCUCUUGCCUAUACCAUUGCUAUGACAUCCCAAAUGACUUAACUGCCUUAAGUGUCUGCCUCUCUUCAUAAUUUCCUUCCUAAUGCUACAGAAAUAAUUUUUGAAAUGCCAAUCUGAUCAUGUUACUCUAACAUUUAGACCUCUGGUUUUGCGUUGUAUCUAGGAUGAAUGCCCAGCUUCCUUUUCAUGGCAUGUAAUAUUCUCCACAGUCCUGUUCCUGCCUACUCUUCUCCUGUGGCUGCCUCACUCAAGCUGUCAUACUGUGGCUGUGUGAAAUAUUUUCCUCCCAACAGAAUUUUUCUUCAUCCUUUAAGUCCUAGCUGAAGGGUUACCUGCUCAGUAAGGCCUUAUCACAUUAUAUUGCAUUAUUUAUUUAUGUGUUUAAUUUCCUAGACUGGGAACUGAUUGAAGCUAUCACUUUGUCUUUUUAUCCAGUAUGUAACACAGUGACUAGCACAUAGCACUUAGAGAUUUUCACCAAAUAAAGUUGAAAAAUGCUACAGAUUGACAAGAUACAAUCGAAAGGAAAUAUACCAAAUUAAAAAUAAUAGGUGUGUGCAACUGAUAGGAUCUAGACUAAUUUAAAAAUUCUUCUACUAUAACUGGUAAAAUCAUUUUAUAAUGAGAAGAGGUACACAAUUUGUAGAAAAAUGAUAUAGCAGGAGAAACUCAUGAUGAAUGUAUUUCAAAGUUAACAUUUUGAAGAAUGGCUCAAGAUAAGUAAGUUGCUUAGACCUUGGGCUCAGGGACUGAGUGAAAAAAAAGAGAGAAAGAAAGAAUAAAACAAGCUAAAAAGGGUAAAAUUUAACGUUAUUCUAUAUGUAUUAAGGUUCUGUAGAGGACCAGAAUCUAAUAGAAUACAUGUAUAUAUGAAAGGGAGUUUAUUAAGGAGAAUUGACUCACAUGAUCACAAGGUGAAGUUCCACAAUAGGCUGUCUGCAACUCGACAAAAAGGGAAGCCAGUGGUGGAUCAGUCCAAGUCACAAAACCUCAAAAGUAGGGAAGCCAACAGUGCAGACGUCAGUCUGUGGCCAAAGGCCCAAGAUCCCCCCGCAAACACUGGUGUAAAUCUAAGAGUCCAAAGCUGAAGAGCUGGGGGUCUGAUGUUCGAGGGCAGGAGCCAUCCAGCUAGGUUGAAAGAUGAAGGCUGGAAGGCUCAUCAAGUCUAGUCCUUCCACUUUCUUCGGCCUGCUUUAUUCUAGCCAUGCUGAUAGCUGAUUGGAUGGUGACCACUCAGCUUGAGGGUGAGUCUGCCUCUCCCAGUCCACUGAUUCAAAUGUUAAUCUCCUUUGGAAACACCCUCACAGACACACCCAGGAACAGUACUUUGCAUCCUUCAAUCAAAUGCUGUUGACACUUAAUAUUAACCAUCACACUAUAUGUAUUUUUUUCAUUUAUGCAUUUAAAAUGUUCAUCCAUUCAAAUGCUCUUUAAAUCAUUUAUACCUCACUUUGUUUCAGUAAGGCAUAAAGUAAACUUGUGAUGAAGGAUAAAAUCUAGAAAGACUAAGUAAAUUAAAAUUAUUUUAGAAAAAAAUGAGGCUAAAGAAAAAUAAAGCCAGCUAAGUAAAACAAAGGCAGGAUUAAUAUUAAUACUUCAAGUUUAAGCUGUGAGGCUCUGUGUACUGCCCAGCAGGGAGUCAUAGAAUUGACUUUCUAGUGAUCAGAGAGGGAAAAGUAAUUGGUGAUAAUAUGCAUAAGGACUGUAACAUAGAAUCAAUUUAUUUGGGAAUUUAUCUACUAAGAUCAGUGAGAAAAUUUUUCUAGGGAUCCUUAGGGAAAAGAGAUGACAUUAUGUGAUAAAAUAUAUGCUUAUCAACAUCUUUAAAUAUAUACAACAUUGAGUUUCGGAUCAAUUUCUCAUAAGGUUCAUCAAUGUAGGAAAAUAGACCUGAUGAGAUAGUAAUUCAGUAGGAUGUAUUCUCUAGAGGACAAAUAUGAUCAUUCUUUGAUAUGAUCCAAUGUAGCAAAGGCUCUGAAUUGUUCACUUAAAUGUAGAUUCAUGAGUUUUUCCCAUCUCCACUACUCCUCAUCCCCCUAGAGAUUCUGACUCAGUAGUUUGGAAGUAGAUUCCUAGAAUUUUUGUUUUAGAUAAUCAACCUGGAAGUUUAGACAAGAAGUCUAAAAAUCACACUUAAUGCUGAUUUUUGAGUAUUUAGAGGAACAAGUGAACUGCAUAAACUUCAUCCAAUCAUUUGAAAAUUUGGUUUCUCUAAACUGAGCUAAAAUCCAGAUAAUUUGAGCUUGUAUUAUCUGGCCAAUAUGUGUGAUAUAGUUGGUCUAUAUGUCAGUUCAUUAUAAAACUAUCUCUUUAAUAGUUUAACCAAGCUACUAAUAAAAUACAUUUCUUAAUAUUUACAAGAUGGUACAAAACAAAGUUUUACUAAAUUGAAGCCCUUAGAGUCAGUAUUGAGUCUUUAAAAAAACAAAUAUUGGACUAACUCUGAAACAUGCAUCAACUAAUGAUUUAGAACUCAAGUUUCAAUUACAUGAAACAUGACUGACCUAAUUUUAGCCUGUAAAAAAUUAAAAUAGAUGCAACCAGAAUAAAUAAAUUAGAUGUAUCUUUGGCCAUGAGGAACUAUUAUACCUCUAAAAUACGUUCAGCUUUAAGUGUUGAUUCCUCCUAGUGAAUCCUCAGGAUAAACUUGUACCAUUGUAGUGUUUAAGAUGGUUCCCAAGAAUCCCUGCCUCCUUGUGCUCAUGUCUUUGUUUAAUCCCCUCCUGCAGAUUAUUUGUUGAAUUUAUGUACUCAGUUUUAACAAAUAAAAUGUGGAAGAAGUAAUGAGACAUCCUUUUUUUUUUUGAGAUGGAAUCUUACUCUGUCGCCCAGGCUGGAGUGCAGUGGCGCCAUCUUGGCUCCCUGCAACCUCUGCCUCCUGGGUUCAAGUGAUUAUCUUGCCUCAGCCUCCCAAGUAGCUGUGAUUAUAGGUGCCCACCGCCACAUCCAGCUAACUUUUGUAUUUUUAGUAGAGAGGUGUUUCACCAUGUUGGUCAAGCUGAUCUUGAACUCAUGACCUCAGAUGAUCCACCUGCCUCAGCCUCCCAAAGUGCUGGGAUUAUAGGCAUGAGUCAUCAUGCCUGGCUGGGAUUUCAUUUUUAAGAUUGGGUUAUAAAAAGACUGUGGCUUCCAUUUUGGGUGUAAUUUCCUGCUUCGUGCUCUUUCUCUCUUUCUCUCUUUCUCGCUCUCUCUCAUUUCUCUUGAUGGGAAGAAGUUGACGUAUUAGCAGCCCUGUGAGAGACCCACAUGGCAAGGAACUAAAGCCUGAAAUCAUCAGCCAGCAAGGAGUGGAGGCAUGCCAGCCACCUGUGAAUGAGUUAGGAAGUCAGUCUUCCAGUUCUAGUUGAGACUUGAGAUGACUGCACCACUGGGCAAUAGCUUGACCACAACCUCAUGAGACACCACGUCUACCCAAGUCAGCUGCUUCUGGAUUCCUGACCUUCAGAAACUUUGCUGUUAUAAGCCACUAAACUUUUGGGGUAUUUGUUAUGGUGUAAUAGAUAACUGAUACAAACGUGAACAUAUAAACAACUGAGAUUGCUUGCCAUAUGCAAGCAUAUACUAUAGACUUGUUGAAAUACUGACUUUCUUUGGAACAAGUGACCUAUAAUUAUUUUUUCUGGAAGCCAUUCAAUAACAAGGCCAGUCAUCUACUGACACCAUUCCUAUUUUGUAAGACUAGAAAAGCUUGAGAGGAUACACAUUUUUCUCUUAUCUGCAUUGGAUAACUAUUCAUUGGGAAAUGCUUAGAAAUCAUUAAGGAUAUAGGACACAAGUCAAAUUUAUUCCUUCUGGAAUUAUCAUCCUCUGUCAUAUGGAAAUACUGUUUGUAUAGAACUUGCUUCAAAAUAGGACUGACUUGGCUGGGUGUGGUGGCUCACACCUGCAAUCCCAGCACUUUGGGAGGCUGUGAGGGUAGAUCACCUGAGGUCAGGAGUUUGAGACCAGCCUGGCCAACAUGGUGAAACUCUGUCUCUACUAAAAAUAUAAAAAUUAGCUGGGCAUAGUGGUGGGUGACAAUAAUCCUAGUUAUUCGGGAGGCUGAGGCAGGAGAAUUGCUUGUGCUUGGGAGGUGGAAGUUGUGGUGAGCUGAGAUCACACUAUUGUACUCCAGCCUGGGCAACAGAAAGACACUCUGUCUCAAAAAAAAAAAAAAAAAAAAUAGGAUUCACUCACUAGCUGUCCAGGUUGACUCUGGAGUAUUGCCACUAAUGAUUGUUGUCCACAGUCAAAGGUCCAGUUGAAUAAACUUUAGUGAGGGUCAACGAUGUGUUCAAUAGUGAAAUAUUGUGGGCAGAGAUGAAUAAUCUUUGUCCUUGUCCUCAUGGAACUCACAAUCCGGGAGAAGUUUCAGAAGCAGGGAGGGGAAGAAAGGAAGAGAAAGGGGGAAGGACAAAGACUGCAUGAAGGAAAGGCUCAGAGGUGCAAAACAGAGUUUGGUAUGGCCUGAUGGUAAUGUGUUUGGAUGGCAGAGAUGAGGCAGGAAAUGAGAGAAGGCCAAGGGAUAAACUUGGAUCUUUAGACAGAUCCAGAUCAGAGAGGAAAGGCCAUGUGGCAAAAAGAGCCAAACCUGGGUAUUAUUUCCAUGUACCAAUUUUAACAUAAGGGAUUUUUUUUUAAAACUUGAGUUAUAAUUUCUCAUUUGUAACGUAGCAAUGGCAAUGCCUAACACACAUGCUACCUUGUUGACUUUAAACUGAAAUAUAUCCUCUGCUUAUAUAUAUUAUUAAAAUAUUAAUGUUAAGCCAGAAUUUAUCAGCAUCUUAGGGAACGUGCAAAUAUAACACAUCUUUAAUCAGAAGCAAUAUUUUUCUGUUAAAUCUUAUGAACAUUGAAGCUCUGUCUUCAAGAAAGGAAAUACAGAUCUUAGGGCAGAAGAGAAGCAGAACAAAAUCAUAUAAGGAUGUGAAGAGUUGUGUUAUGUAAGCUGCCCUGAUUCUGUCACUUAACCCUUUUCUCAUUAAAAAAAAAAAUGUGCAGCUCGCUGCCAGCACUCAUUUAAUUUUACAUAAACAUGCUCUUUGAGGCUGAAGCAAAUCUGACUGGUUUUCAACGUGAAAAUAAAAUAUAAAAACUGUUCUUGGAGUUAUUUAUAAACAGAACUAACAUCAGAAUCGUCUGAAUCAUCAGAAUUGUCUAUUUCAGAAAAAUCAGAUUCGUCAAAUAGAUCUUCAGCCACCAACUGUUUGAGAAUGAUGUUAACAUCAUGCAUAGGAAGGCUGUGUUUUCUAGGAUUUGACAUUUUCAGUGAUUGAGAAUUGCUAUAUUUUGUAAAUCGAAAUACCACUACUAAAACCAGAAUGCUAUAAAUAGUAUGUCUUUUGUUUCCAAAGUUGGUAUACUGAGGCGAUGCAAAAAUAAUAAUGAAAAUGAGAUAUUUCCUGGCAUCAUUAUCCUGGGGUAAAUGCUGUAGCCGCAAGCACCACCAGUAAGAAUUCUCUGGGCAAAUAGGAAAAAGGUUAAAAAAAUUAAACAGUUUCAAUUUGAUUUAUGUAAUCAUAUUUGAUCAUUUGAAUAUACUUAUACUUACUAUUUGAGCUUAAACAUGUUGAAACUCCUUAAGGAGGGUGAAAAUGUACAUCUUGUCAUUUUAGGUCACAUUUUCACUAAGGAAGAUUUGUUAAAAUUAAUGAAUAAAAUUUUAUCUAACCACCUGAAAUGUGUUGACAUCUUUACCCUGAUCUUUCAUUUAUGUUACUAUACCCUGAAUUGGAGCCUUGGGGAAUUUCAGGAGAUGAGAACUUUUGGAGUAUUAUUGUUUUUGUUUUCUAAAGUUUUAUUGGAGAAAAUACAAUUAAAAAAAUAGAUUGCAUUGUCCCUUUUGCUAAUUUCUGUUAAGCAGUUUAAUUUUUGGUCUCUUGUGAUAUCUAGGCUAUGUUUCCAGAAGAAAAACACUAGGGAGAAAUAAAGCAUUAGCUUUAAUGAUAUGUGGAGAUAUUUGAGAAAAUGAACUUCUAAGCUAAGAAAUUUCUCAUCUCCUUUAGCUUCCACAGUGAAGCUAAGGACCAAAUUUGAAGGUUGAAUUGAGAUAAAUGCUCAAGGAGCACCAUUCUCGUUCAGUCAACUGGAUUUCGGAGCUCAGGACUGUGGCUCUGAAGGAUCAGUGAGAAUGAGUAGGCUCACAGUGAAAAGGCAAACUUGCAGGUGCUCCAUUGCUGAAGGAAGAAAUUACAGUGGAAUUGAAAUGCCAUAUUUUCCCAUAUGUAUCCAGAGGGAACAUUCUAGGGAGGAAAAAAGGAAAAUCCAAGGGCUGGACUUUUUGAGCGUCCUCCAAUAAAAACAUCGUGAUGUCAUAUUAUAUUAAUUUAAUGACCAAAUAAAUAUAGAAACCAAAUACAGAAACUGUAAUUAAAUAUACUCUUGAGAACAUAAUUAUGUAAGUAGUACUGCUUUUUAAUGUGUAACAAAAGCAGGGAACAGAGACUUUGGACAGGUACUGCAUUCUAAUAAUCCAAAUUUCCUUUUAUUAAAAAUAUUUCUCAAAGCAAAUCUCCUUAUGUGUUUCCCGUUGAGAACUUUCCCUCAUCAAUCUGCCUUGGCUUGGAAGCUGUUGCAUUUUCUUUUUCCUUUUUUUUUUAAUCCCUCUCAUCUUUCCACUCAUGUUUCUGUACCAGCCUCUUUGUGUCCUCCUGGACUUACAGCUCCCCCCCAUCGUGCCAUCUGCUGCCUCCUACUUGAGUCAACAGUGGUAACAGACAAAACUUCUGCAUUCAAAAUAAUAGCACAUUCAGGGGCAUGUCUUCAAUCUCAUUCUUUUUCGGAUGUAACAGAUUACUGUAAGCUCCGUGCUUCUGACCAGACCACACUGCCCUAAUAAUGGUUAGAAGAAAAAUAGUGAACCACUGUUGGUUAUUUACUUUAUCUUUUGUAUUUUUAUUAUUUUAUAUGGCACAUAAAGAACUGAUUUAUCAAUAUUCUUAUAUAGGUAACCAAGCAUUCAUAUAAUUUUGGAAACAUUUGGAUGAUAAAUGACAAAUGACAGAAACUGUAAUGUUGGAAAGUUAUACACUUUCUUCAAAAACAUAUAAUUUUAUUUCUAAUCAUAUCACGAAUAGGAAUAGGAAAGGAAAAAUUGUGCACUUUAGAAGCUAAAGUACCAUGUUUUAAUUUUAUGCCAUUGAUUUUUUUAGGCAAGUCAAGGGGGAAAAUACCACAUUAAAAGAUGCCUAAACAUAUUCACGUGAUAACUUGUUUACUUAAGCCAGGGUAAUUUAAUGUGCUUCAACUAUGUGUCAAGAGCCACAUUACAAUUCCAUAAAACAAGUCUUAAAUCACAAAGGAGGUAGGAAGAAUAAAGGAACAGCGGAGGAAACGUUAAGGGACAUGGUAACAGCAUAAUUGGCAGUACAAAUUGUCGAGUACUGAACACACCAGAAAGAUGCAGCUUUUGCCAGCAAUAACAGAGAGGGAAAAUAUUUUCCAUGGUAAAUCCAAGUACAGGGCAUACGGCUGUAUAGCUAUUAAAGAACCCACAGAGACAUAUAAAAAGAAAGCCUGCUUUAUGUCUUGUUUAUCACAUUACUAGUGGUAGUUUACAAAGAUUUACAUUAUCUAUAAAUCACUUAAAGAAACAAGGGUUAGUGGGCAUGAUUUUUAUUUCAAACUUUGGUUUAGGUUUGUGACAAUGAUUAAGGUAAAUUAUUUUUAAUUUGCAUACCUUAAGGACCUUCACAAACUUUGCAUCAUUUCCAAAUAUUCUAACAAUUUUAAACAGUUGAUCUAUUUUCUAAAGGUGUUUGGUUAGUCAGCUUUUACUGUGAUAACAAACAACCAUAUUAUCCAAUAGCUUAUAGGAACAAAUGUCUAUUUCUGACUCAGAUUGUAAGACAGCUUCAGGUCAGUGCACUGUGUUGGCUGGGCUUGGCUCAGCUGAGCUUAGCUCUAUGUAGCUGCUCUCUUCAGGGCUCAGGCUGAAGGAGCAUCUUUCAUCUGGGUCAUGCUGUUCUCAUGAGAGUGGGCAGAACAUGAGAGGUAGAGCAGAAACAUGCAAGCACAGCUUAAGGUGGCCUGAGUCAAGUCUGCUCAUGCUUUGAUGGUCAAAACAAGUCACAGGGCUAAGCCUAAAGUCAGUAGAGUGGAGGUACAGUCCUUCUCCUGAGAAAAAUUGCAAAAACGAGGAAGAAAUGAAAAAUUGAGAACAGAUAAUGCAAUCUAAUACUGUUGGUAAAAGGUAAGUUUUUAAUUAAUAUUUUUGGAAGAUCCAUCUGGUAAAAACCUUCUGUCAAAGGUUGUUGAUAAUAUUCUUUUUUUUUUUUUUGAGGCAGAGUUUUGCUCUUGUUACCCAGGCUGGAGUGCCAUUGCACCACAUCGCAUUGUGGUGGUGCGAUCUCGGCUCACCACAACCUCCACCUCCUGGGUUCAGGCAAUUCUCCUGCCUCAGCCAAACGAGUAGCUGGGAUUACAGGCAUGCACCACCAUGCCCAGCUAAUUUUUUGUAUUUUUAGUAGAGACGGGGUUUCACCAUGUUGACCAGGAUGGUCUCGAUCUCUUGACCUCGUGAUCCACCUGCCUUGGCCUCCCAAAGUGCUGGGAUUACAGGCGUGAGCCACCGGUUGAUAAUAUUCUUGAGCAGUAAUCUACAGUUUAUUCUAAAUCUUUAUUGUCAUCCCUUCCCUGAAACAUUUGACAAGUUUUGACCAUUUCUUCCUUGAAAAUUUCUUUUCUUUUUGCUUCUAUAGUAUUAUUUCUGGUUCUUUUCUUACCUGAGUACCUCUCUGGGCCUUCUUUAAUUUUCUUUCUUCUCAGAGUCCUGAAAAUGAGAAUUUUCUAAUGGUUCUCUUAUUGGCUCUCUUAUUGCUAAGCCAUCCUAAUUAUAACUACUCUUAGGAGUUAAAUGAUCUCUUCAAUGUGGAAACAACUCAAAUGAGGUUUUUCAAUCGUGACUUCUAGAACCAUACUUCCAUCUACCCUCUGGAACUUCUAUUUGAAUGAUUUUUGCACCUUAAAUUCAAUUUUGUCAUAAGAAACUUGUCAUCUUUCCAUGUAAAUGUAUCCCUUCUGAUGUCCCUGUUACUAAUAGCAGCGUCAUUUUCUAGGAAAUUCUGACUCAGAACUAUGAGUUGUAUUUGACUCUUUCUUCCAACAUCUAAUCAAUGAAUGCUAAGUCAUAGGAUAUUCCAGCAUCACAAUGUUUCCCAUAUCUAUCCUCUUAUUUCUUCCUGCCAUUAUCAUUUUAGUUUAUAUCUUCAUUCCAUCCCAACCUCUUAAAAUAAGAAAUAGUCUCCUUCAUUCUUCUUUCUAUUCUGGCUUCUCACUUAUCCCCAGGAUUUCCAGAUCAGAACUCACAGACCUUUCUGUAACCCUUUGGGUCUACAUCAAUCACAAAUUUAGUCUGAUAUACAAGACUUUUCACAAUAUGCUUCUAACUCAACUUUUUGAGAUUAUCUUCUAAAAGUUAACGUUAAUGGAAGCUCCCAUAAAAAUAGAUAAUAUUUCUUUAACACAUCUAAAAUUUCCCACUUAAUUGUCCUUAUUCACUUUUUGUUUUGUCUAGAAUAUAUCCCUUAACUAAACUUUUUUUGGGUCUGUAUUUACUUUUUUAAUUGUACUUUAAGUUCUGGGGUACAUGUGCAGAUCAUGCAGGAUUGUUGCAUAGGUACACACAUGGCAAAGUGCUUUGCUGCCUCCUUCCCCUGGCACCUAUAUCUGGCAUUUGUCCCCAUGUUAUCCCUCCCCAACCUCCCCAGUCCCCACUGUCCCACCUCUAGUACCCCAGAAGACCCUCCCUGUAUCCAUGUGUUCUCAUUGUUCAACACCUGCCUAUGAGUGAGAAUAUGUGGUGUUUGAUUUUCUGUUCUUGUGUCAGUUUGCUGAGAAUGAUGGUUUUCAGAUUCAUCCAUGUCCCUACAAAGGACAUGAACUCAUUGUUUUUUAUGGCUGCAUAGUAUUUCAUGGUGUAUAUGUGCCACAUUUUUGUCAUCCAGUCUGUCAUCGAUGGGCAUUUGGGUUGGCUCCAGGUCUUUGCUAUUGUAAACUGUGCCACAGUGAACAUACAUGUGCAUGUGUCUUUAUAAUAGAACAAUGUAUAAUCCUUUGGAUAUAUACCCAGUAAUGAGAUUGCUGGGUCAAAUGGAAUUUCCUUUUUUUUUUUUUUUUGAGACAGAGUUUCGCUCUUAUUACCCAGUGAAAUGGUGCAAUCUCAGCUCAUCACCGCAGUCUCUGCCUCCUGGGUUCAAGCAAUUCUCCUACCUCAGCCUCCCAAGUAGCUGGGACUACAGGCUGUACCACCAUGCCCAACUAAUUUUUGUAUUUUUAGUAGAGACAGGGUUUCACCAUGUUGACCAGGAUGUUCUUGAUCUGUUGAGCUAGUGAUCCACCCAACUCAGCCUCCCAAAGUGCUGGGACUAUAGGUGUGAGCCACCUGCGCCUGGCCUGCAAUUUGUAAUUCUAGGUCCUUGAGGAAUCACCACGCUGUCUUCCACAAUGGUUAAAAUAAUUUACACACACACCAACCGUGUAAAAGUGUUCCUAUUUCUCCACAUCCUCUCCAGCAUCUGUUGUCUCCAGAUUUUUAAAUUAUCACCAUUCUAGCUGGCAUUUGAUGGUAUCUCAAUGUGGUUUUGAUUUGCAUUUCUCUAAUGACCAGUGAUGAUGAACAUUUUUUCAUGUUUCUUGGCCUCAUGUAUGUCUUCUUUUGAAAAGUAUCUGUUCAUGUCCUUCACCCACUUGUGAAUGGGUUUGUUUCUUUCUUGUAAAUCUGUUUUACUUUUUUUGUAGAUUCUGGAUAUUAGCCCUUUGUCAGAUGGGUAGAUUACAAACAUUUUUUCCCAUUCUGUUGGCUGCCGGUUCACUCUAACGAUUGUUUCUUUUGCUGUACAGAAGCUCUGGAGUUUAAGUACAUCCCAUUUGUCUAUUUUGGCUUUUGUUGCCAAUCUUUUUGGUGUUUUAGUCAUGAAGUCCUUGCCUAUGCCUAUGUCCUGAAUGGUAUUGCCUAGGUUUUCUUCUAGGGUUUUUAUGGUGUUAGGUCUUAUGUUUAAGUCUUUAAUCCAUCUGGAGUUAAUUUUAGUGUAGGGUGUCAGGAAGGGGUCCAGUUUCUGUUUUCUGCACAUGGCUAGCCAGUUAUCCUAACAGCAUUUCUAAACAGGGAAUCCUUUCCCCAUUGCUUGUUUUUGUCAGGUUUGUCAAAGAUCAGAUGAUUGUAGAUGUGUGACAUUGCCUCUGAGUCCUCUAUUCUGUUCCAUUGGUCUAUAUCUCUGUUUUGGUACCAGUACCAAGCUGUUUUGAUUACUGUAGUCUUGUAGUAUAGUUUGAAGUCAGGUAGCAUAAUGCCUCCAGCUUUGUUCUUUCUGCUUAGGAUUGUCUUGGCUAUGCAGGCUUUCUUUUGGUUCCAUAUGAAGUUUAAGGUGGUUUUUCCAGUUCUGUGAAGAGGGUCAUAGGUAGCUUGAUGGGUAUAGCAUUGAAUCUAUAAAUUACUUUGGGCAGUAUGACCAUUUUCACAAUAGUGAUUCUUCCUAACCAUGAGCAUGGAAUGUUUUUCCAGCUGUUUAUGUCCUCUCUUAUUUUCUUGAGCAGUGGUUCCUAGUUCUCCUUGAAGAGGUCCUUUGCAUUCUUUGUUAGUUGUAUUGCUAGGUAUGUUAUUCUUUCUGUAGCAAUUGUGAAUGGCAGUUCGUUCUUGAUUUUGUUCUCUUUUAGUCUCUUAUUGAAGUGUAAGAAUGCCUGUGAUUUCUGCACAUUGAUUUUCUAUCCUGAGAGUUUGUUAAAGUUGCUUAUCAAUUUAAGGAGAUUCUGGCCUAAAUAUACAAUCAUGUCAUCUGCAAAUAGAGACAAUUUGGCUUCCACCUUUCCUAAUUGAAUACCCUUUAUUUCUUUUUCUUGCCUGAUUGCUCUGGCUAGAAUUUCCAAUCCUAUAUUGAACAGGUAUGGUGAGAGAGGGCAUCCUUGUCUAGUGCCAGAUUUCAAAGGGAAUGCUUCCAGUUUUUGCCCAUUCAGUAUGAUAUUGGCUGUGAGUUUGUCAUAAAUGGCUUUUAUUAUUUUGAGAUAAGUUCCAUCUAUACCUAGUUUAUUCAGAGUUUUUAGCAUAAAGCACUGUUGAAUUUUGUUGAAGGCCUUCUCUACAUGUAUUGAGAUAAGUAUAUAGUUUUUGUCUUUGGUUCUGUUUAUAUGAUGGAUUAUGUUAAUAGACUUAUGUAUGUUGAACCAGCCUUGCAUCCCUGGGUUGAAGCCUACUUGAUCAUGAUGGAUAAGCUUUAGAUGUGCUGUUGCAAUCUGCUUGCCAGUAUUUUAUUAAGGAUAUUUGCAUCUAUGUUCAUCAUGGAUAUUGGCCUGAAGUUUUCUCUUCUUGUUAAAUCUCUGCCAGGUUUUGGUAUCAGGGUGAUGUUGUCCUCAUAAAAUGAUUAGGGAAAGAUUCUCUCUUUUUGGAUUGUUUGGAAUAGUUUCAGAAGGAGUGCUACCAGCUCCUCUUUGUAUGUCCUCUCUGAAUUUGGCUGUGAACCCAUCUGGACCUAGACUUUUUUUGGUUGGUAGGGUAUUAAUUGCUGCCUCAACUUCAGCCCUUGUUAUUGGUCUAUUCAGGGUUUCAACUUCUUUCUGGUUUAGCCUUGGGAAGGUGCAAGUAUCCAGGAAUUUUUCCAUUUCUUCCAGGUUUACUGGUUUGUAUGCCUAGAGUUGUUUGUAGUAAUCUCUGAUGGUAGUUUGUAUUUCUGUGGAAUUGGUGGUGUUAUCCCCUUUAUUCCCCUUUAUCAUUUUUAUUGCAUCUGUUUGAUUCUUCACUCUUUUCUUUUUUAUUAAUAUGGCUAGUGGCCUGUCUAUUUUGUUGAUCUUUUCAAAAAACCACCUCCUGGAUUUAUUGAUUUUUUAAGCAUUUUUUUUGUGCCUCUAUCCCAUUCAGUUCACUCUGAUUUUAGUUAUUUCUUGUCUUCUGCUAGCUUUUGAGUUUUUUUUUUAAUCUUGCUCCUGUAGCUCUUUCAAUCUUGAUGAAAGGGUGUCGAUUUUAGAUCUUUCCUUGCUUCUUAUGUGGGCAGUUAUUGCUAUAAAUUUUUCUCUAGUCACUGCUCUAAAUGUGUCCCAGAGAUUCUGAUACGUUGUGUCUUCAUUCUUGUUGGUUACAAAGAACAUCUUUAUUUCUGCCUUCAUUUCCUUGUUUAUCCAGUCAACAUUCAAGAGCCACUUGUUCAGUUUCCAAGAACUUGUGUGGUUUUGAGUUAGUUUCUUAAUCCUGAGUUCUAAUUUGAUUGCACUUUGGUCUGAGAGACUAGUUGUUAUGAAUUCCUUUCUUUUGCAAUUUGCUGAGGAAUGGUUUACUUCCAAUUAUGUGGUCAAUUUUAGAGUAGAUGUAAUGUAGUGGUGAGAAUGAUGUAUAUUCUGUGGAUUUGAGGUGGAGAGUUCUGAUGAUGUCUAUUAGGUAUGCUUGGUCCAGAUCUAAAUUCAAGUCCUGGAUAUUCUUGUUAAUUUUCUGUCUCAUUGAUCUGUCUAAUAUUGGUAGUGGAGUGUUAAAGUCUCCCACUGUUAUUGUGUGGGAGUCUAAGUCUCUUUGCAGGUCACUAAGAACUUGCUUUAUGUAUCUGGGUGCUCCUGUAUUGGGUAUGUAUAUAUUUAGGAUAGAUAACUCUUCUGGUUGCAUUGAUCCUUUUACCAUUAUGUAAUGCCCUUCUUGUCUCUUUUGAUCUUUGUUGGUUUAAAGUCUAUUUUAUCAGAGACUAGGAUGGCAACUCCUGCUUUUUUUUGCUCUCCAUUUUCUUGGUAAAUCUUCCUCCAUCCCUUUAUUUUGAGCCCAUGUGUGUUCUUGCGAUGGGUUUCCUGAAUACAGCACACUGAUGGGGUUUGACUUUUUAUCCAAUUUGCCAGCCUGGGUCUUUUGAUUGGGGCAUUUAGCCCAUUUACAUUUAAGGUUAAUACUCUUAUGUGUGAAUUUGAUCCUGCCAUUUUGAUGCUAGCUGGUUGUUUUCCUUGUUAAUUGAUGCAGUUUCUUCAUUGUGUCAAUACUUUUUGCCAUUUGGUACAUUAUUGAAGUGGCGAGUACUGGUUGUUCCUUUCUAUGUUUAGUGCUUCUUUCAGGAGCUCUUGUAAGGCAGGCCUGGUCGUGAUGAAAUCUCUCAGCAAUUGCUUGUUUGUAAAGGAUUUUAUUUCUCCUUUGCUUAUGAAGCUUAGUUUGGCUGGAUAUGAACUUCUAGGUUGAAAGUUCUUUUCUUUAAGGAUGUUGAAUACUGGCCCCCACUCUCUUCUUGCUUGAAGGGGUUCUGCCAAGAGAUCUGCUGUGAGUCUGAUGGGCUUCCCUUUGUGGGUAACCCAACCUUUCUCUCUGGCUGCCCUUAGCAUUUUCUCCUUCAUUUCAACCUUGGUGAAUCUGAUGAUUAUGUGCCUCGGGGCUGCUCUUCUUGCGGAAUAUCUUUGUGGUGGUCUCUGUAUUUCCUGGACUUGAAUGUUAGCCUGCCUUGCUAGUUGGGGAGGUUCUCCUGGAUAAUAUCCUGAAGAGUGUUUUCCAGCUUGGAUUCAUUCUCUCUGUCACAUUCUGAUACACCUAUCAAACAUAGAUUAGGUCUUUUCACAUAAUCCCAUAUAUCUUGGAGGCCUUGUUCAUUUCUUUUUUUUUUCUUUUUUAAAAGAUUAACUUUAUUGUGCAUAUUUAGGUUUACAACAUGAUGUUAUAGGAUACAUAUAGAUAGUAAAAUGGUUACUAUAGUGAUGUUCAUUUCUUUUCACUCUUUUUUCUCUAAUCUUGCCUUCUGAUUUUAUUUCAUUGAGUUGAUCUUCAAUCUCUAAUAUCCUUUCUUCUGCUUGGUCAAUCCGGCUAUUGAAACUAGCGUAUACUUUGCGAAGUUCUCUUGUUGUAUUUUUCAGCUCUAUUGUGUCAUUUAUAUUCUUCUCUUUGCUGUUUCUUCUUGUUAGCAUUUUGUCUAACCUUUUUUCAAGGUUCAUAGUGUUUUUGCAUUGGGUUAGAAUAUGUUCUUUUAGCUCAGAGAAGUUUGAUAUUACCCACCUUCUAAAGCCUGUUUCUGUCAAUUCAUCAGACUCAUUCUCCAUCUAGCUUUGUUCCCUUCCUGGUGUGCAGUUGUGAUUUCUUGGAGGAGGAGAGGCAUUUUGGUUUUUGGUGUUUUCAUCCUUUUUGUGCUGGUUUCUUCUCAUCUUUGUGGAUUUAUCUACCUGUGGUCUUUGUAGUUGGAGACUUUCAGAUGGGGUCUGUGAGUGGACAUUCCUUUUGUUGAUGUCGAAGUUAUUUCUUUCUGUUUCUUAGUUUUCCUUCUAAUAAUCAGGCCCCUCUGCUGGAGUCCUGCUGGAGAUCCACUCCAGACCCAGCUUGCCUGAGGAUCACCCACAGAGGCUGAAGAACAGUGAGGGUUACUGCCAGUUUCUUCUUGUGUUAUCUUCAUCCCAGAGGGUACCUGCCAGAUGUCAGCCUGAGCUCUCCUUUACGAGGUGUCUCUUUGGACAUACAGGGGUCAGGGAUCUGCUUGAGGAGACAGUCCAUUUCAUAUGGGAGCUCAAGUCUGUGCAGGGAGCUCCUAUGUUCCAUUCAGAGCUUCUGGGUAGGUACAUUUAAGACUGCUGUAGUAGAAUUGAUAAACACCCUUAUCCCCAGGUGCUCUGUCCUGGAAAAGUGGGGCUUUAUUUAUAAGUUCCUGAUAUGCUGCUGCCUUUUUUCUGAGAUGCCCUGCCCAGCAAGGUGGUAGUCUAGACACAGUCUGCCAGCAGAGGCAUUACUGAGCUGCUGUGAGCUCUGCCCAGCUGCUGUGUAAACUUCCUGUUAGAACUGCUUAGGUAAUAGUGGUCUGCCUUAGUAAUGGUGAACUGCCUUGGUAAUGAUGAACUGCCUCAGUAAUGGUGGACUGCCUUGGUAGUAAUGGACUGUCUUGGUAGUGGUGGACUGCCUUGGUAAUCGCUGACACCCUUCCCCCCACUGAGCUGGAUUGUUCUGGGUCCAGCUACGCUUGCUGUAAAACUCUCCAUCCAGUGCGUUUCAGAUUGCUGGUCUUUGUGGGGGGUGGUACCCGCUGAGCCAGAUCACCUGGCUCCCUGUUUCAGCCCCGCUUUUUUUCAGUUGAAUGACUGGCUUUGUAUCCCAGGCAUUCCAGGCACUUUUUGAAAUGGCUGCCCAUAUUUGUGCGAGUUUUUGUGUGGAGACCUGCAGCACCAGCUGAAACAGCUGUGCUGGAAAUUUGUGGCCCUUUUCAGUCCAGGAAUCUCCUGGUCUAUGGGCAGUAGAAACUCUUUGGAAAUGUGGUGAUCACUCACCCUCUGAAUUCUUCUCGCUGGGAACUGCACUCCAGAGCUGUUCCUAUUCAGCCAUCUUGGACCUCCUCUCACUCCCUGUACUUUUUAAGUUCAAUCUCAAAACACAUCUCUUCCAAUAACUUUGUUAGCAUUUACUUUGAAGCUCCUUUGUGCGUAGAUUUGCUUUAUGUUCCAGUGGUUUGUAAAAUUGUUUUUAAAUCUUUUUUUUAUUGCAUUUUAGGUUGUGGGGUACAUGUGAAGAACAUACAAGAUAGUUGCAUAGGUACACACGUACACACAUGGCAGUGUGAUUUGCUGUCUUCUUCCCCUUCACCUAUAUCUGUCAUUUCUCCCCAUGCUAUCUCUCCCCACCUCCCUACCCCCAGCUGUCCCUCCCCUAUUCCCCCCAACAGACCCCAAUGUAUAGUGCUCCCCUCCCUGUGUCCAUGUGUUCUCAUUGUUCAAUACCCGCUUAUGAGUGAGAACAUGCGGUAUUUCAUUUUCUGUUCUUGUGUCAGUUUGCUAGAAUGAUGUUCUCCAGGUUCAUCCAUGUCCCUACAAAGGACACGAACUCAUUGUUUUUGAUUGCUGCAUAAUAUUCCAUGGUGUAUAUGUGCCACAUUUUCCCUGUCCAGUCUAUCAUCGAUGGAUAUUUGGGUUGAUUCCAGGUCUUUGCUAUUGUAAACAGUGCUGCAAUGAACAUUCGUGUGCAUAUGUCCUUAUAGUAGAAUGAUUUAUACUAUAGUCCUUUGGAUAUAUACCCAGUAAUGGGAUUGCUGGGUCAAAUGGAAUUUUCAUUUCUAGGUCCUUGAGGAAUUGCCCCACUGUCUUCCAAAAUGGUUGAACUAAUUUACACUCCCACCAGCAGUGUAAAAGUGUUCCUAUUUCUCCACAUCCUCUCCAGCAUCUGUUGUCUCCAGAUUUUUUAAUGAUCACCAUUCUAACUGGCAUGAGACAGUAUUUCAAUAUAGUUUUGAUUUGCAUUUCUCUAAUGACCAGUGAUGAUGAGCAUUUUUUCAUAUGUUUGUUGGCCUCAUGUAUGUCUUCUUUUGAAAAGUUUCUCUUCAUAUCCUUUGCCCACUUUGAAUGGGCUUGUUUUUUUUUUUUCUUGUAAAUCUGUUUUAGUUUUUUGUAAAUUCUGGAUAUCAGCCCUUUGUCAGAUGGGUAGACUGCAAAAAUUUUUUCCCAUUCUGUUAGUUGCUGAUUCACUCUAAUUCACUUUUGCUGUACAGAAGCUGUGGAGUUUAAUUAUGUCCUAUUUGUCUAUUUUGGGUUUUGUUGCCAAUGCUUUUGGUGUUUUGGUCAUGAAGUCCUUGCCUACUCGUAUGUCCUGAAUGGUUUUGCCUAGAUUUUCUUCUAGGGUUUUUAUGGUGUUUUCUGGGUUAGAUGGUACAGAGAAUUGCUGGUAUG